GGUGGUCUAGUAGUCAAAAUGUCCGUCUCAGAUGCGGGAGGUCGUGGGUUCGAUUCCCGGCGGAGUCA